rnacentral:SRP_RNA from 1 species
GCCGGGCGUGGUGGCGGGCGCCUGUAGUCCCAGCUACUCAGGAGGCUGAAGUGGGAGAAUCGCUUGAACCCAGGAGGCAGAGGUUGCAGUGAGCCGAGAUCGUGCCACUGCACUCCAGCCUGGGCGACAGAGCGAGACUCCAUCUCAA